GCUCCUUUGCACAAGACCCACUGGCCUUCAAGGCCAGAUGCUCCAGGGGCUCUUUCUCCUACUGCCAGAUCCUCAGGCGUGGUGACCUGACAUGGGGCUCAGAACUCUCACUCCAGUAGGACACCCUGGGAUGGAAAACAAAUCUGGAGCCUCCCUGUUAAUGGAUGGAAAUGUAAGCUGUAGAAUCCAGCCCCUUGGGGGGUACUGGUAGGAUCUUCACUCUGAAACAGGGCCACAGCUAAACAGGCUGUGCUGUGUGCCGAGACGUGACUUCUGGGAGGAACACACAAGUGGCACCACCAGUGUGAUGCUGGGCCAGCCCAUGCUUAUCAGGGGGAAGUGUGACUCACUGAGAUGCUGUCAAUGUAGACUCGGUCCUGGUCCCUUUUGGCUCAGGAAAUGUGUAUAUGCCUUGGGAAGAUGGGGAUGGGCAGGUAGAAUCUGCAGAGCAAUUGGGAGGAACUGAAGAAAACCAGGUCUUUUCUAAUUCUUCCUUCCAAUCCAGGCCCCCCUCCAUCACCAGAUGAAUCAUCCUAAAGGUACACUUUCAAAAUGUGUUUUGCAGAACAUGAGUCCCAUGAGUAACUUUUUGGCGGGAAAAAAAUGUGGGAGGGUUUCUAUUGGAAAAUUCUGCUCAUCAUAUGCCCCUUUUGGAGAUUCACAAUGCCCAUUAACAUUUAAAAGUCCCUGAGAAGUCCUUCAGUAAUCUAUUUCACUUGGUAUAACUCUUCUUUGUUAGAGAUGCAUCUUAAAACUUUGUAGCUCUAGCGUUUUCCAACCACAUUUUAGUAUGUCUGUAUCCUGGGGUCACUAAGGAAUGCCUCUAAUAAGAUAGGAUUAAAACAACAACAACAACAACAACAAAAACCUUUUGUCAAUCAUGUUAAUGACACUUAAAUUCUCUUGCUUGGCAUAAUUUUUGACCAGGUAGGUAUCUGCCUAUAGUACCUCAGUUGUUUUUAUGUGCCACAAAUUCAUUCUGAUUUUUUUGUUUGUUUUUAACAGUAGUUCAUUUUCUGGGGGAAAGGGACUUUCUCACACCCUGAUUUUAGUCUAGCAGUCCAGAAGGUUGCUGUACAUGAUUUAUGCCUGGCAGUCAGACAUUCCAUCUUCUCAGCUGGGCCAGAUAUGGACAGUUGACCUAUGUCAAGUUACGAAAACUCAGUUCUGGGAUUUUUUCACUGUUGAGACAGGAGAAAUUUUUUUUUUUCCUGGUAUUUCUGGUUAUAACAAAACUGUAUUUGACAUGUUCGGGUUACAAGUUACAGAGUGUUUACCUCGGGGUGAAACCAACAAAGGAGAAAAAGGAGCUUGGAAAUAGAGAAAGAAAGUUGGGCUAAGGGCCGAUAACCUUAUUUAAGCCCCUAAAUUCAGCUGUGCCUGAAGCCCACACUUGCUAUGAAACUUCCAGUUUCAGUGAGCUAAUGACUUUCUCUCAAAAAAAUUUUUUUUUCUUCCUUAAGUAAGCUGGUGGUAAGCUUGCAGUCAUGGUUCUCAAAGUGCAGUCUCCUUACCAGAAACAUCAACUCACCUGUAAACUUGUUUUCACAUGUACAUUCCUCUUAUCCUCCACUUUACUUGCCUGAGGGCUAGCUUGGGUGACCCCUCUUGAAACCAUCUUAACCACAUGAUCACAGUAGUGUUUUUGACCUUAAUAGUGCCUACUGCAAUCUGUUUAUUACUUGCCCUCUGUAUUCUUUUGUCUCCUAGAGUGUGAGCCCUCGAGCCACGGAUGCUGUCUUAUUUAUCUCUGGUCCCUUCCUACACAUGCACACACACUGCACUGGGAACAGAAUCUGGAAAGUGGUCAAGAAUUGCUUAAUAUUUCCGAUUUGUAUUUUCACAGUCUUGUCUUCAAGGGUCCAUUUCAGAAGGCAAACCUUCUUAAUGAGAGCUGUUAGCACCCAGAAGUAUGUUUGCAGAGCCUGUCUCCCUGGGAGAAUUUAAGGUUAUGAAGUGCAGGCCCUUGUUAACAGCUCCUGCGAAGCAGUUGUCCUAACGUCUAACAUGGGUCACUAUAAUAAACGGUGCAGGAGAAACACAACUCGGGACCUUGCUAAUUGUUCUCACCUCACUGAGUUAGACACUACCUCUGCAUGACCAAAGGUUGAUGGAAUGAAACGGUCCCUCAAGGAAGCUAAUAGAAAGUCAAUGAUUUUGGCCCUUUAAACUGCUUUUGGAACAGACCCGAGCUGGGCCUUGCAGGGAGCUUUCGGCACUUGGCUCGGAUGAGUGGGUGGAGAGCCCUGAUGAUCAUUCUGGGGCCAGCUUCAUGCUGUAUCAGGAAGCUCCCCUCUAUCCAGCACCAUAAACAGCCACAUCAUCUCCGUAGGCUGGGCUGCCCUGGUCAACCCCUUGCUUUGAAUCAAAAUCAACAGAUGACUAGUGUGUUUUGUAGGCAGGUUCACCUUAGCCAGGAUGGACAGGAGGGCUGUCAAGGGUCUUGCAGAAGUGAGCAGGGCUCAUCCAUGCCUGAACAGGCUGCUCAGUCAGGCCCCCCGGCCAGAGGGACUGUGUGUGUGUUGGCGGGGCAGGGGGGGAGUUUACUAGCAGGUGCCUCGGCCCUACUUCCUUAUACAGACACCAGGGAGAUUGGCUCCCGGUCUCCUGUCCAAUGCAAGAAUGUGAGGCCCACAGUCUUGGCUGGUCCAGGCUCCAGGAAAGGUGUGGCUCUGGUUGUAUUUUUGUGCUAUUGAGCUAAGUGUGAAUAGCUUCUUGUUUCAACACGAGCUCCAGACUCCAGUCUUUUGUGUUUGGGGAAAUGCAGCAAAGCAGUUUGGAGAUACAGUUUCAACCUUUGGCAGAAAAUCUCUCACUACCCCUUCAGAGAAGUAGGAGGGGGCCACCCAGAGGUUAAAAGGGCAGCGUGCUCAGCAUCAAGCCCAAAGCAACGCCCAAAUGGUUGUAGCCUUUAAUUAAGAAGGAACUUGCACUCUUGGAGAUAUGGGGGUUGGAGGCAAGGAAAGUCGUUUUUAUUUCAAUCUGGCUGCGAACACCCCAACUACAGUGUCUCUGCCUAUUUUCUCAGCCAUUGUGUCUUUCACGCUUCAAGCCAAUUAGGGUAUGUUCUUUUCUUUCUUUCUUUCUUUUUUUUUUUCUUUUUGGCGUUGGGAAAAAAAUAACCGAGGACUAUUCAGAAGCUCAGAAAUAAAGGGCCAUUGGGGAAGUUGGAAUAACAAAGAGGUGACUGAAACUGGUUUUAGAGGUGUGACAGAUCUCAGAGAGUUUUGGCUGGAUGCGAGUUUAGGGAGGGAAAAAUGUGGGGCAUGGCUCUGCUCAGGCUUCCUGCGGAGACCUUCUAACAGCUUCCUUCUCACGUGCCUGCAAAGGGGGAAGCACCCAGAGACCCUGGCAGGAAGGACUAGAUGAGCCUCUUGUUCUCCCAGGUUCCCUCCCAGUGAACCCAGGCAAUAAGAAACAGAUCCCUGGGAGCCCUGCCCAUGUGAUGCAUCCUUUCCUCUGGGUUUCUCAGGUCAGGUGGGCUUCCCUUUGCUGCUGCCCUGAAACAGUGGUCCACCCUGAGAAAAGGAGGUCUUGGUUGCCUCUUUGUAAUUUUAGAGUGUAUUAGGCUGCUCUUUGAUGGCUUCCCAUGAAGCCUUGUCACUGCAUGUAUGCAUCCACGUAGACGGUCAUGCACUCUGAGAUGGGCAAUGAAGGGUGACUCUGGACAAGGAGACCUUGGCCCCUCCCUCCUGGAUCUGUCUCCUGCCUUCCUUAUCCCCCCAUUUCCAUCCCAAUCUUAGAAAAGCAAAUCCCUUUGGGAGGGACUCUCAAGCACUUCUAUUAAGUAAGUGAGUAUUUCCGCCUGUUGUGUGCUCUCUCCACAGACUAGGUAGAUCAGGGGAGAUUAGCAAAUGUCACUAGAACUCUCAACUGUUAUUUUUUUCCCAUGUCCCAGAAUCAGUGGUUCACAGGUAAAGGUGGACCAGGUACCAGAAGGAGAAGAACCCAGAUUUAAUGAUGCUGGUUGGAACCCCUCAGAUUGACUGCUCCUGGCCCCUGGACUUUCUCUCUUCUUCUUUAAACCAGGAGCUGAAACAUUUGGGGAGAACACAAGUGACUCGUUACAUGUCAGGUCCGAUACUGUUUCCAGUUCUUAUCAGUGGCAGUGAACUUUGCAGGACCUUUAAGUCUUUUGCUGUCUGCUUGGGUCACCUUCAUGCACUGAACCUUCCACAUGCAGGUUUGGAUUCCAGACAUCUCAGUCAGGGCAUUUUAGUUCUGCUGAGCUGGGACCUUGAGGCUGACAGUGUAGACAAAGCCACCUACUGAUCUCCUGCCUAUUGACAGACAAGGAGGUAACCAGGGGUUGGAGCUGGGAAAAGGCAUUCAGAAUGAGGGUUAAGAAUAUGGACAGGAAAGAUCGAGGGUGGAAGUCUUUUUCACCUGCCCUUCAGGCUUGGUUUGGACCCCCCCAUGUUCCAGGGUAUAAGUUGAAAGUUGACAGACUUGGUCUGGAGAUGCCCUGUGAGUCUCAGGGCCCCAGAAGUCUGCAUUCCAGCUAUGGGACUCCAAAGUGGCCAGAUUGUGGGGGAGGCUAUGGUUUCCCUGCAGAGACUUGGAGGCCAGCCCAAAUUCCCAAGGAUGAGGAUGUAGGGUUCAGGAGGAGGGGCAGCAGGUCUUCCUCCGCAGGGAGCCCCUCAGUGGUUCUCAGGCAGUGGGAAUGGACAAAUGGUGGAAGAACAUGACAGGAGGACAAGCUCUGGCAAAGACAGCUGUGGAUUACUGUGUGGGCAUGUGCACAAAUCUUCUUUUUUUUUUUCGUUUUAGGGCCGCGCCUACGGCAUAUGGAAGUUCCCAGGUUAGGGGUGGAAUCACACCUGCAGCUGCCAGCCUAUGCCACAGCCACAGCAACGUGGGGUCUAAGUUGCAUCUGUGACCUAUACCUCAGCUCACAGCAAUGCUGGAUCUUUAACCUACUAAGAGAGCCCAGGGAUGGAACCUGCAUCCUCAGGGAGACAAUGUCUGGUCCUUAAUGGGCUGAGCCAUGAUGGGAACAUCUGCCUGUAAAAAUCUUUGAGAGACCAGUGGAUAUUCUCCUAUUUGGGCACGGGGAUGGGUGCUCCUUGAAACCACUGCCAUCUGAGGACAGAUGCAACCGUGAAAUGACAAACUGGUGAGACACUACACACCUGGCCAUGUGUAAUGACCAGAACCAGGAGAAUAGGGGCCCCAAAGGAGGCCAGCAGAGGGGAGCAGUGAAGGCGUCCUGUGAGUGGCUUCACCAGCAGGAAUGCCUGGGGCUGCUGGGAUGCUGGCUGCCUCACCUGGCCUGGCAGGUUUUGGGGAGCCCAGGAUGGGGUGAGGCUGAGGAGCUGGCCCUGCCUACUGCUUUCUGAAGGACGUCAUUUCAUAUAUACAUCUACAUGCCUAUAUUUAUACAUAUAUCAUGCAGCAUUACUUUUUGUUAAAACUGUUGUGACAGAUGCUGUGAACAAUUUCUUUAGAAAUUCACACUUAUCUGCUUAUAUUCUGAUUAGAAUGAAUCUUCUUGACUGUAAUGUGAGGUCUUUCCACCCCAGCCACCACUUCUCCCUUUCUGGCCUUGUAUUAUUUCUUUUUUUUUUCCUUUGGGCCACGGGUGCAGCAUAUGGAGGUUCCCAGGCUAGGGGUCAAAUCGGAGAUACAGCUGCCGGCUUACACCACAGCAACACAGGAUCCAAGCUGCAUCUGUGACCUACAACACAGCUCACAGCAACACCAGAUCCUUAACCCACUGAGUGAGGCCAGGGGUCGAACCUGCAACCUCAUGGUUCCUAGUCGGAUUUGUUUCCACCAUGCCAUGAUGGGAACUCUGAGGCCUAGUCUUAUUUCUGUGGAACUUCCUUUCUUCCUCUGUAGCCCUUUUUUUCGUACCUCCUGCAAAUCAAUGCUGUUUCAUCUUGUUUUGGAUUGGCUUUCAGGAUGUGUCAGGAAAGCUGGGUAUGCAGGGCUGCCGUCAGCAGUGGUUGGGGACACUGUUCACCUCACAGCCAUUUGUCCUCUUCUUUGAAAACCUCAUUUCACAGGAACCUCAGGGCCAUGUCCAUGGUCCACAACCUAGCUCUAUGCCAUGACUCAUUGCUCUGAAGGGGUCAAUUAGAUUAUCUCUGCAUUGAGACCAUGAAACUUGGAGCAGGAGUUCCCGUUGUGGCGCAGUGGUUAAUGAAUCCGACUAGGAACCAUGAGGUUGCGGGUUCGGUCCCUGCCCUUGCUCAGUGGGUUAACGAUCCGGCGUUGCCGUGAGCUGUGGUGUAGGUCACAGACGCGGCUCGGAUCCCGCGUUGUUGUGGCUCUGGCGUAGGCCGGUGGCUACAGCUCCGAUUCAACCCCUAGCCUGGGAACCUCCAUAUGCCGCGGGAGCGGCCCAAGAAAUAGCAACAACAGCAACAACAACAACAAAAGACAAAAAGACAAACUAAAAAAAAAAAAAA
rnacentral:lncRNA from 1 species